rnacentral:ncRNA from 1 species
GCGGUACCGGUUCACGCCCGAGGGCGACCCGGCGACC